UCUUCUUGGUGUGUUACCUCCAGGUCACUGUCUGGGGGAGGAGAGGGGUUGUUCUUGCGGCUCCUGCCUCGCGACUUGGACCCGCCACUCCGACAGGCUCGAUCAUCCAGGUCCUUGAUGGGCGUGGAGGGCCUCUGCACCGCAUCAAAGUCCCCUGAGAUCCAGACCUGGCAUCUGGUAGGGCGAGUAGGCCGUCUGUCCGGGCUGAGGCGUGGUGAAGCCGGGGCUGUAACUCAGGCCCGUCUGGAGAGGAGACUGACUCUGCGCCAGGCCGCUCUCUGUCUUGAUGCCUGGCAGCAUCACGCCCAGGAAGCCAUGGACGCAACCAUCACACACUGUCCCACACCGGCAUUGUUACCUGCUGUCUGAAGGGUCUGGAACAUGAGAGUCACUGUUUGAUUUCUUCACCUGCAGAGGAAGCACAACACAAACGUGAGGGUGGUCCGCUCCGGCCUCGCUCCAACAGCACAGCGGGACCGGGCUGAAGCGAGCAUAGAGCGGGCCUGAUAGAGGGGGAAAGACCUGCUAAGAUAAUGGCCUUCAUCCACCAACACAUGCCUCUGGGGCACACCAGCCAGACAGCCUCCUACUAUGUGGACACCCCCCAGGGACUUUGUGUAACUCUGUCUCCUCUACCUGCCAAAUGCUGUGUCACAAAGAGGUCUACACCACACACACACACACACACACACAAAGACACAAAUUGAGCAGGUAUCUAGCCAAAUCUCUUUCAUUGCUGCCUCCAAACUGAAGCCUAUCAUGGCGGGGGGAGGAUUAGGAGAAGUGAAACCCAGCUAAUGUCCUUACAUGCCAACAAAAAAUCUCUUUGCUAUAUAUGUACAAGUUAAUUUGGAAGAAUAAUAUUCAAAUAAAAAGAGUUGUAUCCUCGUUUAUCACCUCUAUCAAUGCAAAUGUGCUGUACUGGGUGUGUGUGUGUGCAUGUGUGGCUUUUUCUUGCUCAUAGACAAACUGGAGCUGAACUUAAAGCCUCUCGCCAAUAAUAACAAAUUCAAACUCACACACACGUGCACAGAGUUCAGUGGUUAGUUGAAGUGCAUGGAGGGAAUGUUGUGGUCACACCUGGGAAUACUCUUUCAUGAAAGAACCAACCUGACCAACAUUUUCUUUCUCUUGCUAUCGUUUCCUCUCCUUGGACAAGGAAAGCACCAACUUAUGUUUUCUUUCACUUUAGUUUGUGUCUGCUCCUGAGACACAUACGUGGAGUCGUCUGUAUUUACAAAGAGACAUUUGGAACAUCUCGGCAUGGUCUUGCUGUUACACUGCAUAGCGUGCACGUGGUCUCCCAAUGUGAAUUUUAAUUCUGAUCUGAUUGGAAUUAAAGCAGUUUAAAGUCAGAGUUAAUGGCUUUAGACGGGCUCUAAUCCUUGUUUAAUGAAGGCCUCGGUGGGCUCGCCGGCCUCCUUUCUUCAUGCUGGACGCGGGCCCAUCAUAACUCAAGUGCACAUUUAGGCAAACACUUUAUAGAAAAUGGCGGACGUGUGUGCAUAGAAGCCGUUAGCAUACGUGCAAUGUAUGACCAGCAAACACACAACAGAAUUUGGACUUUUAAAUUCAUAAGAUCUUAUCAAGGAGCUUCUUGUUCACUUGUGUGUUUGUGUUUGUGUGUGUGUGUGUGUGUGUGUGUGUGUGUGUGUGCGCGUGCGUGCGUGGAUUGUCAUGCUCUCACUCCUUAUCAUCCCUAUGUAAUUGGAGCCAAUCCCCUUCCGCCCCGCCUCUGUCAAAUAUAAAAAUCAUUUGUCCGCUGCAUGAGUGUGGCCAUUAAAUAUGCAUGGUGGCUGGCUGGGGUGGGUGGGCGUGUCCUCUGGGGGAAGAAAGCCGAUAUUCAGGCGCUCCGGAAGGGCAUCAGUAGCAAGGUAGACAAAUGGCAUCUGAAGAGGAAAAAGAAAGAAAGGUGGAUCAGUGGGUUGCGUUGCAGUGCCCCUUAACAACCACUAGGCCGCAUGAACAAAAUAUUGGCCAACAUUCAUAACUACCAACCAUACUGUAUGUAGCUGUUCAGAUCAUAUCAGCUAGUUGUUUUCAAGUACAGCAACCCCUCCUUUAUCGCAGUUGAUCCAGACUGGAUUGUGAUAAGUGAAUUUCCGCAAAGUAGGAUUCAAUAUUAAUAAACGGAAUGUUUUUGAGAGGUGGUGGACUGGUGGCCAGUCAGUCGCAGGGCACUAACCCUAACCCUAACCCUAACCCUAACCCAAUGGAUCACACAGAGAUACCCAAUGGAGAUUUGACCCAGGUCUCCUGACUGCGUGGCUAACAUGCUCACCACUAGGCCAAAAACCUCCACAUAGGGGGGCAUCUGAUCUGUGAAAUGUUUGGUGGUGUGUUUAUUGUUAAUCUGGUUUUGUGUGCAGAGCCCAGGUAAUAGGGAGGUAGUUUUAUGUGGAUCAAAUGGCGUAUGCUUCACCACUUGAAGUCUUAACAUAGGAUGAAAACAGUGUCUUUUUUUUCUUUAAUUGUGAUUUUCCUAUGACAAUUUUCCCCUGCUGUAUUGAAAAGACAGUUUCAUUUCUACUUAGAAGUAAGACGUUCAUGUAGAGGACGUACAACAGGCUGCAAUGCAGUACCACUUCAAACGUUUGGACAGACUAUGUAAUGCAACAAGUGUAUACUGUACAUUGUGUAUUUUUCUCAUAUUCACACUAAAUUGUGCCAUGAUGUCCUGUUUUACAUCUCCUCUCUUUUUCUUUCUUUGCUGCGCUCCAUGUGCUUCCUGUUAGCCAUUUGCAGGGCGUUUAUUCACACACAAGCA